CAAACUCUAGCAUAGUGGAUUAGCCUCUCCUCUAGUAGGUAUAGCCUAGGUGACAUGACCCUGUUCUGAAUCCAGCCCAAACUCUAGCAUAGUGGAUUAGCCUCUCCUCUAGUAGGUAUAGCCUAGGUGACAUGACCCUGUUCUGAAUCCAGCCCAAACUCUAGCAUAGUGGAUUAGCCUCUCCUCUAGUAGGUAUAGCCUAGGUGACAUGACCCUGUUCUGAAUCCAGCCCAAACUCUAGCAUAGUGGAUUAGCCUCUCCUCUAGUAGGUAUAGCCUAGGUGACAUGACCCUGUUCUGAAUCCAGCCCAAACUCUAGCAUAGUGGAUUAGCCUCUCCUCUAGUAGGUAUAGCCUAGGUGACAUGACCCUGUUCUGAAUCCAGCCCAAACUCUAGCAUAGUGGAUUAGCCUCUCCUCUAGUAGGUAUAGCCUAGGUGACAUGACCCUGUUCUGAAUCCAGCCCAAACUCUAGCAUAGUGGAUUAGCCUCUCCUCUAGUAGGUAUAGCCUAGGUGACAUGACCCUGUUCUGAAUCCAGCCCAAACUCUAGCAUAGUGGAUUAGCC